CACUCCUGCGGGAGGCAGCAGUGGGGAAUAUUGGACAAUGGGCGCAAGCCUGAUCCAGCCAUGCCGCGUGAGUGAUGAAGGCCCUAGGGUUGUAAAGCUCUUUCACCGGUGAAGAUAAUGACGGUAACCGGAGAAGAAGCCCCGGCUAACUUCGUGCCAGCAGCCGCGGUAAUACGAAGGGGGCUAGCGUUGUUCGGAUUUACUGGGCGUAAAGCGCACGUAGGCGGACUAUUAAGUCAGGGGUGAAAUCCCGGGGCUCAACCCCGGAACUGCCUUUGAUACUGGUAGUCUUGAGUUCGAGAGAGGUGAGUGGAAUUCCGAGUGUAGAGGUGAAAUUCGUAGAUAUUCGGAGGAACACCAGUGGCGAAGGCGGCUCACUGGCUCGAUACUGACGCUGAGGUGCGAAAGCGUGGGGAGCAAACAGGAUUAGAUACCCCAGUAGUCCCAUGAU
rnacentral:rRNA from 1 species